AGCAUAUCAAUAAGCGGAGGAAAAGAAACUAACAAGGAUUCCCCUAGUAACUGCGAGUGAAGCGGGAAGAGCUCAAAUUUGAAAUCUGGCGGCCUGUGGCCGUCCGAGUUGUAAUCUGGAGAAGCGUCUUCCGCGCCGGAACCGUGUACAAGUCCCUUGGAACAGGGCGUCACAGAGGGUGAGAAUCCCGUCUUUGACACGGACUGCCGGUGCUUUGCGAUGCGCUCUCGAAGAGUCGAGUUGUUUGGGAAUGCAGCUCAAAGCGGGUGGUAAAUUCCAUCUAAAGCUAAAUAUUGGCGAAAGACCGAUAGCGAACAAGUACCGUGAGGGAAAGAUGAAAAGCACUUUGGAAAGAGAGUUAAACAGUACGUGAAAUUGUUGAAAGGGAAGCGCUUGAAGUCAGUCGCGUCUCCCAGGACUCAGCCGAGCGCCUGCUUGGUGCAUUUCCUGGGCUUGGACGGGCCAGCAUCGAUUUUGACCGUUGGAGAAAGGCGUCGAGGAAUGUGGCACCCUCGGGUGUGUUUAUAGCCUCGCGUCGCAUAUGACGGUUGGGAUCGAGGAUUGCAGCACGCCCCCUCCGGGGGGUCGGGGUUCGCCCACGUUAACGUGCUUGGGAUGCUGGCGUAAUGGCUUUAAGCGACCCGUCUU
rnacentral:rRNA from 1 species